UACGGGGGGAGCAAGCGUUGUUCGGAUUUACUGGGCGUAAAGGGCGCGUAGGCGGCCAGCACAAGUCAGUUGUGAAAUCUCCGAGCUUAACUCGGAAAGGUCAACUGAUACUGUGCGACUAGAGUGCAGAAGGGGCAACUGGAAUUCUCGGUGUAGCGGUGAAAUGCGUAGAUAUCGAGAGGAGCACCUGCGGCGAAGGCGGGUUGCUGGGCUGACACUGACGCUGAUGCGCGAAAGCCAGGGGAGCGAAGCGGG
rnacentral:rRNA from 1 species